UAAAACCACACUUUCACUUUCACGUCACAUGAUUUCAGAUGUUUUGACAAGAUGAAGCGAACGAGAUUAAAAUGGAUUUUAAUGCAUCUGAUGGUGGUAUUGUUAGGGCUGGCUUACGGCGACGUGUGUCAAUCUUUCUCAGGAUCUUUUGAUUUCUCAUAUGGAUAUAUUCAGCGCCACCAAACCCCUCCAUCUCUCUUGCAGCGUUUGGAUUCUGUUCUUCCGGUGUCUAACAUAACCAGCGAGUGCUGCGCGUUCCUAGAUGACUUUGCUAACGAAGCCUCUAGCUUUAUCCGGUGUACGAUAGAGCGAUCCCGGCCCCUUAGGUUCUGUGAACAAUGCGUGAUCCCGUAUGAAAGAGUGACAACAGUUUUUAAUGACAUUAUGAGAAAUACAGGUGGCUGCCAUGUGUUUCUGUUGGAUGCUGACAGAGUGCAGGCCAUUCUUCAAGUCCACACCAUGAUACAGGCACUCUGGGAUGCCUCUGAUUGUAAAAACUGUUUCUACAGUAUGAGUGAAGAUGAAAAUGGCACCGUAUCAUUCCAGUUCAAUACCGACACAUUAAAAUUCCUGGAGCAGUAUGACAAUUUUACAGAUUGUAUCGAGAAAUACACGAAUGGGACCUAUCCAGAUUUUACGUUCAUCAAUUCAACAGUUUGCAGUGCAUGUAAACACGAAUAUAGAGAACUCAAUCUUCACUUUGUGAACAUGAGGAAAAUCUAUAAUGGUAAAAUAUGCAUGGAUCUCGUUGAUAUGAUGAAUUACACGCGUUUAAUGUGGGGAGGGGAGCGGGAUCUGAACUGUACCCGGCACUUGAAGGACGACAUGGUGGUACUCCUCACCAGCUUCAUUCUCCUGACUGUGCCGUUUCUGUUUUAUGGAGCCAGCUGUAUUUGUGGGAAAAGAAGAAAACUCAAACUCAUGACACGACAAGGCUAGUAGGAAAAGGUGAAAGACAGAACACUAGAAUUUGGACCAUGAGAUCAAAGUCAAGGUCAAGUUUGUGAACAUCAGUCCGAGCUUGCAGCAGGUCCUGCAUGACAAAAAAGACUAAAGAAAACAAUUUCUGUAGAAGUGUCAUUUGUAAACCAUUCAGAGACAAACAACGUUAACCAUGUCCACAGUUAGUUCUGGAAUCUUAGGGAGAAAGACGGGCGAGAACCACCCUAGGAGAAUGAGGAAAUUAUUAACUGCAUCCGAUCCUCAUAGUCAUACUAACCGUAAUUUUUCAAUGAAUAGACCUGUACAGACAAUCAACAUGCCUGUUACUAGACAAAAUCUGUUUCCUCUGUUCCUGAAAUUACUGUUAUACACCCGUCUUAUGAUGGCCAUAUUAUGGUAUGGACAUUCCCGUCUGUCAGUCCGUCAGUCAAAUAUUUUUUGUGUGUGGUCAUAUCUUUCAGACUCUGAGACUUCAGACUAUCAAACCUGGUCAGCUGGUGUAUUAGGGGGGGGGGGGGGGGGGUGUACAUGUGUUGUGACCCAAAAAUAGGUCACUGUAUCUUCCUUCUAGAAUUUAAUGGCAAUAUAUAUUAAAAUUGUCUUUGGAUCAUGUCUUGCACAAUUUGAGGCCUAGGACCAUCAAGCUUGGUCAGUUAAUGCAUCUUGGGAGGCGGACCUCCAUGAAACCCGGUCUGCUGUAGAACUUGUAGUAUGUAAACAUAGAUAUGUAUUGUACACAUGUAAUUCCAGAUGGGUGUAUCAUCUACCCUAUCGAUAAACUAUACAAUCAUAAACUCAUAUUUUCUGUAACUUUUUCCAGGAAAAGUGGAACUGUUGAGAAUAUCCUUAAUAAGGAUGUUCACUCCUGAGCACAAAUGUCUUGAGACAGUUUUGUAAAGUGUAUUUAUAUUAUCUACAUGUAUAAUGAAUUACAUGAUAAGUACAAUAUGAAUUAAUGGAUCAGAUGGCUUUACAUGAUAAGUACAAUAUGAAUUAAUGGAUCAAAUGGCUUUGCAACCAGGAGAUCCAUUUUCGAUUCUAGAACCCUGCACUGCGUCAAAGUGACCACUCCUUCUCCACGUGCCUGGCGUUACAAAUGAGAGUCAUGGUUCUUUUGAAUGCGACUUUGGAAAUGGAGGUUCCAUGUCAGAAUAAGUGUUGGCAUAAUAAAGAACUCUAAUUGUUUCGGCUGGUAGCGCCAUGUAUGGGUCAUGGUUUGUGACACAAUUUCACCUAGAGGUGGUGAUGUCUGAGAGAAAAAUUCUUGAAUGGGAUGUAAAAUAACAUCCUAACAAACAAAUAAAACCUAGAAUUUUGAAAACAUAUUACUGAUUGAACCUAUCUCCGAAGUAUAAAAUGUUUCUUUAACCUAAGAAUUUUCAAUGAUUUAUAGUGAAAAAGAAUAAAAGACAAAAUUGUGCUCAAAUAUCCACCUACCCCUAAAUACCACCAGCUGUAAAACGUAGUUCCAAUUAUUUCAUGUAGAGCAACAAGAUUUAAAACUUUUUAGAUUUGAAAUCAGAGGAUAGAUUUUGUUAGUGUAUUAGAUAUUGGUUAUGACCAAAAAACACUGUUUUGUGCAGUGUUAAAAUUAAUUUUAUGGUAAAGGACAAAGGGUAGUGACAAGAAUACCAGUACUCGGGGAUUUUUUUCUAACAUAAAACAUAAAAUGUGCAAUGCAGUUUAAGGGGGAAUACAAUAUCAUCAUAAUGAUACUUUUGAAACUUGAAUGAAUAUAUAAAUAUCAACAAUAUAUGUAUAUUCCUUUUAAAUCUAGUCACCUAGCUGGGUAGCUCAAUAGGUUUACGGGUUGACUACCGAUUUUUAAUUCAUUCAUUCAAGUGUAGCAGGUUUUUACUUUUUUUUCUUUGAUUGUUUCUACUAAAACUACAUUUUUUCACUAAAUUAGGGAAAUUUGAAAAUUUUCCAUUCAGUUGUACAUAUCGUCCACUCUACAUCCAUAUCAGAUUUCUCUGGUGUUAUCCCUCCUUAUAAUGGGAAAAUGCAGUGAGAUGUAUUUAUUUGCUUAUGAAUAUAGAUAUUGUGUUUUAGCUUCAGUUUUCAUGCCUUUGUUCUUUUAAUUAUUAUAUUGUUUUGUUUUAAUGAGAAAAUCAUAAUUACGUAUUUGAAUGGGAUUUUGUAUUCACGAUAUUGCAUGUUUUCUGCGUAAAUUGUGUGCUUAUGUUUGUUCAUGACACGACAAGAAAUGACUUUACAGAACAACGAUGUUUCCCUCUUCAUAUUGACUAAUACCCAUCAGAUAACGUAUUUAUUAUAUACUUGCCUUGUCAUUUUUAUGGGUUUUUUUUUUCAACUGAAAAUUAAACAUUCCAAACAUUUA